UCUUAAGUUGGGAAACAGAAUGGGCC
rnacentral:piRNA from 1 species